rnacentral:rRNA from 1 species
UGGGGAAUUUUACGCAAUGGGCGAAAGCCUGACGUAGCGACACCGCGUGAGCGAAGAAGCCCUUCGGGGUGUAAAGCUCUGUCGGCUGGGACGAAAAAAAUGACGGUACCAGCAAAGGAAGCAUCGGCUAACUACGUGCCAGCAGCCGCGGUAAGACGUAGGAUGCAAGCGUUGUCCGGAUUUAUUGGGCGUAAAGAGUUCGUAGGUGGUUUGUUAAGUCUGAUGUUAAAGAUCGAGGCUCAACCUCGGGAGUGCAUUGGAUACUGGCAGACUAGAGUAUGGUAGAGGCAAGCGGAAUUCCAGGUGUAGCGGUGAAAUGCGUAGAUAUCUGGAAGAACACCGGUGGCGUAGGCGGCUUGCUGGGCCAUAACUGACACUGAGGAACGAAAGCCAGGGGAGCGAAUGGGAUUAGAUACCCCCGUAGUCC